CCUACGGGUGGCAGCAGUGAGGAAUAUUGGUCAAUGGGAGAGAUCCUGAACCAGCCAAGCCGCGUGAGGGAAGACGGCCCUAUGGGUUGUAAACCUCUUUUGUCGGGGAAAAAAACCCGGGACGAGUCCCGGACUGCGUGUCUCCGAAGAAAAAGCAUCGGCUAACUCCGUGCCAGCAGCCGCGGUAAUACGGAGGAUGCGAGCGUUAUCCGGAUUUAUUGGGUUAAAGGGGUGCGUAGGCGGUCUGUUAAGUCAGAGGUAAAAUUGCGGGGCCCAACCCCGUCGAGCCGUUGAAACUGGCAGACUUGAGUAGGCGAGAAGUACGCGGAAUGCGCGGUGUAGCGGUGAAAUGCAUAGAUAUCGCGCAGAACUCCGAUUGCGAAGGCAGCGUACCGGCGCCAGACUGACGCUGAGGCACGAAAGCGUGGGGAUCGAACAGGAUUAGAUACCCGUGUAGUG
rnacentral:rRNA from 1 species